rnacentral:rRNA from 1 species
GGGCGCACGGUGGAUGCCUUGACACUAGGAGUCGAUGAAGGACGGGACUAACGCCGAUAUGCUUCGGGGAGCUGUAAGUAAGCUUUGAUCCGAAGAUUUCCGAAUGGGGAAACCCACCAUACGUAAUGGUAUGGUAUCCUUAUCUGAAUACAUAGGGUAAGGAAGACAGACCCAGGGAACUGAAACAUCUAAGUACCUGGAGGAAGAGAAAGCAAAUGCGAUUUCCUGAGUAGCGGCGAGCGAAACGGAACAUAGCCCAAACCAAGAGGCUUGCCUCUUGGGGUUGUAGGACAUUCUAUACGGAGUUACAAAGGAACGAGGUAGACGAAGCGACCUGGAAAGGUCCGUCGUAGAGGGUAACAACCCCGUAGUCGAAACUUCGUUCUCUCUUGAAUGUAUCCUGAGUACGGCGGAACACGUGAAAUUCCGUCGGAAUCUGGGAGGACCAUCUCCCAAGGCUAAAUACUCCCUAGUGAUCGAUAGUGAACCAGUACCGUGAGGGAAAGGUGAAAAGCACCCCGGAAGGGGAGUGAAAGAGAUCCUGAAACCGUGUGCCUACAAAUAGUCAGAGCCCGUUAACGGGUGAUGGCGUGCCUUUUGUAGAAUGAACCGGCGAGUUACGAUCCCGUGCGAGGUUAAGCUGAAGAGGCGGAGCCGCAGCGAAAGCGAGUCUGAAUAGGGCGUUUAGUACGUGGUCGUAGACCCGAAACCAGGUGAUCUACCCAUGUCCAGGGUGAAGUUCAGGUAACACUGAAUGGAGGCCCGAACCCACGCACGUUGAAAAGUGCGGGGAUGAGGUGUGGGUAGCGGAGAAAUUCCAAUCGAACCUGGAGAUAGCUGGUUCUCCCCGAAAUAGCUUUAGGGCUAGCCUUAAGUGUAAGAGUCUUGGAGGUAGAGCACUGAUUGGACUAGGGGUCCUCAUCGGAUUACCGAAUUCAGUCAAACUCCGAAUGCCAAUGACUUAUCCUUAGGAGUCAGACUGCGAGUGAUAAGAUCCGUAGUCAAAAGGGAAACAGCCCAGACCGCCAGCUAAGGUCCCAAAGUGUGUAUUAAGUGGAAAAGGAUGUGGAGUUGCUUAGACAACUAGGAUGUUGGCUUAGAAGCAGCCACCAUUUAAAGAGUGCGUAAUAGCUCACUAGUCGAGUGACUCUGCGCCGAAAAUGUACCGGGGCUAAAUACACCACCGAAGCUGCGGAUUGAUACCGAAUGGUAUCAGUGGUAGGGGAGCGUUCUAAGGACAGUGAAGUCAGACCGGAAGGACUGGUGGAGUGCUUAGAAGUGAGAAUGCCGGUAUGAGUAGCGAAAGACGGGUGAGAAUCCCGUCCACCGAAUGCCUAAGGUUUCCUGAGGAAGGCUCGUCCGCUCAGGGUUAGUCAGGACCUAAGCCGAGGCCGACAGGCGUAGGCGAUGGACAACAGGUUGAUAUUCCUGUACCACCUCUUUAUCGUUUGAGCAAUGGAGGGACGCAGAAGGAUAGAAGAAGCGUGCGAUUGGUUGUGCACGUCCAAGCAGUUAGGCUGAUAAGUAGGCAAAUCCGCUUAUCGUAAAGGCUGAGCUGUGAUGGGGAAGCUCCUUAUGGAGCGAAGUCUUUGAUUCCCCGCUGCCAAGAAAAGCUUCUAGCGAGAUAAAAGGUGCCUGUACCGCAAACCGACACAGGUAGGCGAGGAGAGAAUCCUAAGGUGUGCGAGAGAACUCUGGUUAAGGAACUCGGCAAAAUGACCCCGUAACUUCGGGAGAAGGGGUGCUUUCUUAACGGAAAGCCGCAGUGAAUAGGCCCAAGCGACUGUUUAGCAAAAACACAGCUCUCUGCGAAGCCGUAAGGCGAAGUAUAGGGGGUGACACCUGCCCGGUGCUGGAAGGUUAAGGAGAGGGGUUAGCGUAAGCGAAGCUCUGAACUGAAGCCCCAGUAAACGGCGGCCGUAACUAUAACGGUCCUAAGGUAGCGAAAUUCCUUGUCGGGUAAGUUCCGACCCGCACGAAAGGUGUAACGAUUUGGGCACUGUCUCAACCAGAGACUCGGUGAAAUUAUAGUACCUGUGAAGAUGCAGGUUACCCGCGACAGGACGGAAAGACCCCGUGGAGCUUUACUGUAGCCUGAUAUUGAAUUUUGGUACAGUUUGUACAGGAUAGGCGGGAGCCUUUGAAACCGGAGCGCUAGCUUCGGUGGAGGCGCUGGUGGGAUACCGCCCUGACUGUAUUGAAAUUCUAACCUACGGGUCUUAUCGACCCGGGAGACAGUGUCAGGUGGGCAGUUUGACUGGGGCGGUCGCCUCCUAAAAUGUAACGGAGGCGCCCAAAGGUUCCCUCAGAAUGGUUGGAAAUCAUUCGUAGAGUGCAAAGGCAUAAGGGAGCUUGACUGCGAGACCUACAAGUCGAGCAGGGACGAAAGUCGGGCUUAGUGAUCCGGUGGUUCCGCAUGGAAGGGCCAUCGCUCAACGGAUAAAAGCUACCCCGGGGAUAACAGGCUUAUCUCCCCCAAGAGUCCACAUCGACGGGGAGGUUUGGCACCUCGAUGUCGGCUCAUCGCAUCCUGGGGCUGUAGUCGGUCCCAAGGGUUGGGCUGUUCGCCCAUUAAAGCGGUACGCGAGCUGGGUUCAGAACGUCGUGAGACAGUUCGGUCCCUAUCCGUCGUGGGCGUAGGAAAUUUGAGAGGAGCUGUCCUUAGUACGAGAGGACCGGGAUGGACGCACCGCUGGUGUACCAGUUGUUCUGCCAAGGGCAUAGCUGGGUAGCUAUGUGCGGAAGGGAUAAGUGCUGAAAGCAUCUAAGCAUGAAGCCCCCCUCAAGAUGAGAUUUCCCAUAGCGUAAGCUAGUAAGAUCCCUGAAAGAUGAUCAGGUUGAUAGGUUCGAGGUGGAAGCAUGGUGACAUGUGGAGCUGACGAAUACUAAUAGAUCGAGGACUUAACCAU